UACGUAGGGGGCAAGCGUUGUCCGGAAUCAUUGGGCGUAAAGAGCGUGUAGGCGGCCCGGUAAGUCCGCUGUGAAAGUCCAGGGCUCAACCCUGGAAUGCCGGUGGAAACUGUCGGGCUAGAAUCCGGAAGAGGCGAGUGGAAUUCCUGGUGUAGCGGUGAAAUGCGUAGAGAUGUGGAGGAACACCGAUGGCGAAGGCAGCCCCCUGGGCUAACACUGACGCUCAUGCACGAAAGCGUGGGGAGCAAACAGG
rnacentral:rRNA from 1 species